CAUGCAGGUUCAUGCUGCUCAGCGUUGUUUGCAUGGCUGCCUUGCUGGGAGAGGUGAUAUUAUGUGCCAUGGUGCAGCAGGACAGCACAAACAUUGUGACACCACGUUAAGACAUCACUCUGUGCUCUGUACUAUAUAAGGAACUGGCGUGCCAGGCCUGCAAGGCACAGUAUGGCUGACCUGGUGGGUUUGUUCACCAAGCCACAAGGGAGUGUCUUCAGCAAAGGGUGGCCAGGACGAACAGGCCUAUAAGAAGGGAAGUAGCAGCUGAAGCUAAUUUCCUUAGAAAACGAAGGAAGGAAGAUAUCAGAUAGAACUUGGGCAAUAAACCUGACUUCAAGAUGUCAGAGGAAGAUGAUUCAUAUCUGAAUGUAAAAAGAUCUCUGAAAAGGAGAAUGGUGAAACACAGCACCCCAGUGGACUCAAUGCUUUCAAGAGCAACUCCAUCUCUUAUAGAUCUGACAAAUCAGUCAAUCAAGGACCAAGAUGCCACAAAGCGAGUUUAUGGAUCUCCAAUGCCAAAAUCAGAUCUAAGCAGAUCAUUAUCUCAAGUGUCAUCAGUGCGUGUUGAUGCGUACAUCCCUCACGUGUCCCCAAAAAGACUUUCAACAGCAUUUGAUUUGCAAGAAUUAAAUAAAGAGAAAACUCAAAGCUCUCAGCUUGUAUUUUCUAGAAGGAGGCUUUCUACUGUGUUGGCCUCUGAUGAAUCAAGUCAAGAGCCAGCUCAUAAGGUUGUCCCAGAUACAGAAACUCAAGCUACCACCAGAGCAUCUGUGGAUGCUGCAGCAACUCCCAAGAGUGGACCUUCAUGGCUUGUUUCUGGCAUACCAGGGAUAAAAGAUCCUCUGCCAGCAAAAUCCAGAAAGAAGAAAAUUGAUAAAACU